GGCGCUCAUGAGUCUUGGUAUGGCGACUCGUUCGCUUCGAGUAGGUCCGGGGUUCGAUAUCCCGUAGCUCCACCA
rnacentral:tRNA from 1 species